GACGAACGCUGGCGGCGUGCUUAACACAUGCAAGUCGAACGGAAAGGCCCCCAUCUUGGUGGGUGUGCUCGAGUGGCGAACGGGUGAGUAACACGUGGGUGAUCUGCCCUGUACUUCGGGAUAAGCUUGGGAAACUGGUUCUAAUACCGGAUCGUACCAUGGUUUAGUGUCUCCUGGUGGACAUCUUAUUGUUUUGGUUCAGGUUGGGCUCGCGGCCUAUCAGUUUGUGGGUGGGGUAAUGGCCUACCAAGGCGUCGGCGGUUGGCCGGCCUGGGGGGUUGGACGGCCAGAUUGGGAGAGAGAGACGGCACAGACUCGGAAGGGAGGCAGCAGGGGGGAAGAUUGAAGAAUGGGAGCAAGCCUGAGGCAGCGACGGCGCGUGGGGGAGGACGGCCGUCGGGUUGUAACCUCCUUUCGUUAGGGACGAAGCCGCACUUUUAUUGGGUGGGGUGACGGGACCUUUGUGAAGAAGCACCGGCUAACUACGUG
rnacentral:rRNA from 1 species